rnacentral:rRNA from 1 species
UACGUAGGGUGCAAGCGUUGUCCGGAAUCAUUGGGCGUAAAGCGCGCGUAGGUGGCUUCGUAAGUCCGUUGUGAAAGUCAAAGGCUCAACCUUUGAAAGCCGAUGGAUACUGCGGAGCUAGAGUACGGAAGAGGCGAGUGGAAUUCCUGGUGUAGCGGUGGAAUGCGCAGGAUAUCAGGAGGAACACCGGUGACGAAGGCGGUUCUCGUGGGCAUUACCUGACGCUGAGGAGCGAAAGUGUGGGGAGCGAACAGG